rnacentral:lncRNA from 1 species
CUUUAUUACUUAUUUUACUAAUCAGAGUAUUUCAAUUUGACUGUCUUUAUUGUAACUGGGAAAAGUAACGAUUUUUAUAAAUCCCCUAUAUACCAGUGUUCUUGUUGAAGCUUGUAUUAUUGAUAGAUAGUGCGUGUAACGCCAGUGGCACAUAUGUCAUGCAUAUAAAGGACAAUACACUAAUGAUAGCUAUCAAAAGACAUGGAAAAACUAAACAUAUUUGCCUUCAACAGGCUACCUACAUACCCAUCAAAGAGGAAUUUGAAUUAUUAAAUAACGUGGCGCUUUCUCUGCAUCACGUUCAUGAUGCAUUAUAAUUACCAAUCCUGUUCGACCAAACGGGAGUUGAGUAUUUAAACAUUCUAAGAGCAAAGUUUGAAACGAACGCUCUAGUUUGCUACUUCUAUCACCUCAUUCCCAAUACAGCACAGAACUGAUUUGAGGUGUACCGUUUUGAGACCGAAGAAUAUAACUGAUCAGAAGACAACCAGAGAUAAAAAAAAACUGUCUAUCAUAAACAUUGAAUGUCUUUCACGAUAUUUAACAGUGUCGAAAACAGUUGUGAAUCAAUUUAACAUAUUCCAUCAAAGAAAAUGAAUCCAACACCAUCA